AACGAACGCUGGCGGCAUGCCUAACACAUGCAAGUCGAACGAGACCUUCGGGUCUAGUGGCGCACGGGUGCGUAACGCGUGGGAACCUGCCCUUAGGUUCGGAAUAACUCCCCGAAAGGGGUGCUAAUACCGGAUAAUGUCUUCGGACCAAAGAUUUUUCGCCUUUGGAUGGGCCCGCGUUGGAUUAGCUAGUUGGUAGGGUAAAAGCCUACCAAGGCGACGAUCCAUAGCUGGUCUGAGAGGAUGAUCAGCCACACUGGGACUGAGACACGGCCCAGACUCCUACGGGAGGCAGCAGUGGGGAAUAUUGGACAAUGGGCGAAAGCCUGAUCCAGCAAUGCCGCGUGAGUGAUGAAGGCCUUAGGGUUGUAAAGCUCUUUUACCCGGGAUGAUAAUGACAGUACCGGGAGAAUAAGCUCCGGCUAACUCCGU
rnacentral:rRNA from 1 species